rnacentral:lncRNA from 1 species
CUUAUUUUCUGAAUAAUGCUGUAAAUGGGAAAGGACAUGGUGAGGGGAGAACGGAACCUCACGGGCAUGGCCUGGGCUACAUUUGUUUCUUAUAGCCUCAUGCUUUGUAUCUCCUAAGGACAUAAAACUAUUAGAGAGUGUCCAAGGGAGGGCUAUGAAGAUGGUGAAGGGUCUGGAGGGCAAGACACAUGUGGGUGGCUGAGGUCCCUGGGUUUGCUCAGCCCCGAGCAGAGCAGGCUGAGGAGAGGCCUCAUGGCGGCCUGCAGCUCCCUCACGAGGGGAGCGGAGGGGCAGGCGCUGAGCUCUGCUCUCUGGGGACAGCGACAGGACCCGAGGGGACGGCAUGGAGCUGGGACAGGGGAGGGUCAGGCUGGGGUUAGGGAAAGGGUCUGCACCCAGAGGGUGCUCGGGCACUGGGACAGGAUCCCCAGGGAUGCGGUCAUGGCACCGAGCUGCCAGAGUUCAAGAAGCACUUGGACAACACUCUCAGACAUAGGGUCUGAUUUUUGGGUGGAGCCAGGAGGUGGUCUCGGUGAUCCUUGUGGGUCCUUUCCCACUCGUGACAUUCUGUGAUUCUGUGACCCCCAGCACCCCACUGGGCAAUGUGCCGGGCUUUAACUCUGUUACACUGUAUGACGUACAAACGGGAUUUAAGAAAAGCUCUUAAAAUAUGUGGUGGGCACCAGGCAUCCCGUGUCCGCCUCCCAGACGCAGCCAUUUAUUUCACCUUCCCCCCGCGGCUGCUGGCGGGGCUGACAGCGGGGCGAGCCCCAGCCCCUGCCCUGCUUGGCUGCGGCUCCCUCGGCCACCUCGGGGGCAAACCGGAGGCGAAGAGGUGUGUGUUUGUGCAUGUAUGGUGUACGUGGGGUGUGUUUGUGUGUGUGUAUUUGUGUAUUUGUGCCCCGUGUGCGUGGCGGGCGGGGCACAGCCGCCUCCCCGCCGCGGGGUGGGGGGAUCGCAGCCAGCUCCCUGCCAGCGCCCCGCUCCCAGCCGCCGCAUGGUGAGGGGCUGCGGCGGGGGAAGCGGGACCGGGAGGGGCUGAGGGGAGGCAGGGACGGAGGGAUGGAGGACGGAAGGACGGAAAAAGGAGGAGGCCGGGUGCUGCUGGCUGGUUCCGGCGAUGGCGGCCCGGCCGCUUUCGCUUUCGCUUCCCCUUCCCAGCCGGGGCUCGGUGCCUGCGGCCGUGCCCUGCCGCCAGUGCAGAAAGGUGUAGUCCAGAACCAGAGUGCACCCCGGCUGUAUCCCACACGUUCCUCACUCGCUACAGGCCAAGAGAGCAGUAGCAAAUACUCUUUGCCACUCAGUUUUGAGGCCAGUGCUACUCUGAGAAGUGUUUCAGGGUUUUUUACCUUGGUAAAGGUAUAUUGUGCAAAUAUUAGCUCGAAGGGGGCUUUUUAG